GCUUGACUGUAUCUUGGAAUUGGGUUCGGGCUUUUCUUGCGCAGACUAGGUGGGAGGCUAUGAAGAUUUUCUUCUGGGAAAGUUGGAGCCAACAGUGAGAGACCACUCUGGAAAGGCUAGAAUCCUAAUGGUGAUCCUUGAAUCAGGACACUUAACAGUUUCAGGUGGGCAGUUUUUCUGGGGCGGAAGCCUCAUAAAAGGUAACUGAGGCGCGCAAAGGUCCCCUCAGUCUGGACGGAAAUCAGACAUUGAGUGUAAAGGCAAAAGGGGGCUUGACUGCAAGACCCACAAGUCGAGCAGGGGCGAAAGCUGGCCUUAGUGAUCCGACGGUGCCGUGUGGAAGGGCCGUCGCUCAACGAAUAAAAGUUA
rnacentral:rRNA from 1 species